UUCAUUACGCUCACUUCAGCGACCGACACAAUGAGGGAUCUAAAGCACACACAACUGAGCAACUCGAACAUUAAUCCCGUUUGCGACUGCGCCAUAUUUAAUUUUGGGGUUUCUGAGGGGUUGCAAGUCAAAUAAAAUUGCUAGGAGAGAACUGUUCUGGUUAAUUAACUUGUCCUGUAUUUCAGUUACUAGGUGCAGCACUUGUU
rnacentral:misc_RNA from 1 species